AUACGGAGGGUGCAAGCGUUAUCCGGAAUCAUUGGGCUCAAAGGGUCCGCAGGCGGAUUAAUAAGUCAGUGGUGAAAUCCUCUCGCUCAACGAGAGAACUGCCAUUGAAACUGUUAGUCUUGAAUUCGGUCGAAGUAGGCGGAAUGUGUCAUGUAGCGGUGAAAUGCAUAGAUAUGACACAGAACACCGAUAGCGAAGGCAGCUUACUAGACCUGGAUUGACGCUCAUGGACGAAAGCGUGGGGAGCGAACAGGAUUAGAAACCCGAGUAGUCC
rnacentral:rRNA from 1 species